GGCGGAUGUUUACACAUGCAAGUCGAGCGGCAGCGCGGGGGCAACCCUGGCGGCGAGCGGCGAACGGGUGAGUAAUACAUCGGAACGUACCCAGUAGUGGGGGAUAACACAUCGAAAGAUGUGCCAAUACCGCAUACGACCUGAGGGUGAAAGGGGGGGAUCGCAAGACCUCUCGCUAUUGGAGCGGCCGAUGUCGGAUUAGCUAGUUGGUGGGGUAAAGGCCUACCAAGGCGACGAUCCGUAGCUGGUCUGAGAGGAUGAUCAGCCACACUGGGACUGAGACACGGACCAGACUCCUACGGGAGGCAGCAGCGAGGAAUAUUGCACAAUGGAGGAAACUCUGAUGCAGCAACGCCGCGUGAGUGAAGAAGGCAUUCCGGUUGUAAAGCUCCUU
rnacentral:rRNA from 1 species